rnacentral:lncRNA from 1 species
CGAGCAGGCCUUGGUCAACGACAACUGCUUCAAACUUGUGCUGUACCAGAAGGAGACCAAGCUUACGAUAGAGCUGAUUGAUACAGAAGCGACAUGUCUGAAGAUCCUGUGGAGAUAGAGAAAUGGUCAGAGUACGUUGACAAAUACGUGGCGGGUGAAGAUUCCAUCUCGGACGAACUGAGAGACCAGCUGGC